GCCCAGGUGAUGAAAUUGGUAGACAUGCAAGGUUGAGGGCCUUGUGCUCGUUUUAGGGCGUGCUGGUUCGAGUCCAGUUCUGGGCACAA
rnacentral:tRNA from 1 species